rnacentral:rRNA from 1 species
AGAGUUUGAUCCUGGCUCAGGAUGAACGCUAGCGGCGUGCUUAACACAUGCAAGUCGAACGAGAAAAUUCCUUUCGGGAAGUGAGUAGAGUGGCGCACGGGUGAGUAACGCGUAGGUAAUCUGCCCUUAUAUUUGGGAUAACAUUGGGAAACUGGUGCUAAUACCGAAUGGUCUUCAUUGCUUUGGGGUGAUGGAGGAAAGAUGACCUCUUCUUGAAAGUUAUCGUGCAGGGAGGAGCUUGCGUACCAUUAGCUAGUUGGUAGGGUAAUGGCCUACCAAGGCAACGAUGGUUAGCGGGUCUGAGAGGAUGAUCCGCCACACUGGAACUGGAACACGGACCAGACUCCUACGGGAGGCAGCAGUGAGGAAUAUUGCGCAAUGGGGGAAACCCUGACGCAGCGACGCCGCGUGAGUGAGGAAGGCCUUCGGGUCGUAAAGCUCUGUCAGUAGGGAAGAAAUGUUAUAUGGUUAAUACCCUUAUUAGUUUGACGGUACCAUCAAAGGAAGCCCCGGCUAAACCCCGUCCAGCAGCCGCGGUAAUACGGAGGGUGCAAGCGUUGUUCGGAAUUACUGGGCGUAAAGCGCGCGUAGGCGGUUUGUUAAGUCAGAUGUGAAAGCCCAAGGCUCAGCCUUGGACGUGCAUUUGAAACUGGCAGACUUGAGUACUGGAGGGGAUGGUGGAAUUACCGGUGUAGAGUUGAGAGUUGAAAUUCGUAGAUAUCGGGUGGAAUACCGGUGGCGAAGGCGACUUUCUGGCUGAAUACUGACGCUGAGGCGCGAAAGCGUGGGGAGCAAACAGGAUUAGAUACCCUGGUAGUCCACGCCGUAAACGAUGUCAACUAGGUGCAGGGGGUGUUGAUCCCUCCCCUCUGUGUCGCAGCUAACGCAUUAAGUUGACCGCCUGGGGAGUACGGUCGCAAGAUUAAAACUCAAAGGAAAUUGACGGGGCCCGCACAAGCGGUGGAGUAUGUGGUUUAAUUCGACGCAACGCGCAGAACCUUACCUGGUCUUGACAUCCCGAGAAUCUUUUGGAUACAAGAGAGCGCCUUUUUUGAGGAAUUCGGUGACAGGUGCUGCAUGGCUGUCGUCAGCUCGUGUCGUGAGAUGUUGGGUUAAGUCCCGCAACGAGCGCAACCCUUAUCUUUAGUUGCCAGCAUUAAGUUGGGCACUCUAGAGAGACUGCCGGUGUCAAACCGGAGGAAGGCGGGGAUGACGUCCAAGUCCUCAUUUCCUGUAUUACCAUGGCGACACAGGUACUACAAUGGCCGGUAGAACUGGCAGCCACUUCGCGAGAAGGAGCAAAUCCCUAAAAGCCGGUCUCAGUCCGGAUUGGAGUCUGCAACUCGACUCCAUGAAGUUGGAAUCGCUAGUAAUCGUAGAUCAGCAUGCUACGGUGAAUACGUUCCCGGGCCUUGUACACACCGCCCGUCACACCACGGGAGUUGGUUGUACCAGAAGUAGUUAAGCUAACCCCUUCGGGAGGCAGGCCGCCAAGGUAUGGCUGGUAACUGGGGUGAAGUCGUAACAAGGAGGCC